rnacentral:rRNA from 1 species
GGUGAACGCUGGCGGCGUGCCUAAUACAUGCAAGUCGAGCGAACAGACGAUGAGCUUGCUCCUCUGACGUUAGCGGCGGACGGGUGAGUAACACGUGGAUAACCUACCUAUAAGACUGGGAUAACUUCGGGAAACCGGAGCUAAUACCGGAUAAUAUAUUGAACCGCAUGGUUCAAUAGUGAAAGACGGUUUUGCUGUCACUUAUAGAUGGAUCCGCGCCGCAUUAGCUAGUUGGUAAGGUAACGGCUUACCAAGGCAACGAUGCGUAGCCGACCUGAGAGGGUGAUCAGCCACACUGGAACUGAGACACGGUCCAGACUCCUACGGGAGGCAGCAGUAGGGAAUCUUCCGCAAUGGGCGAAAGCCUGACGGAGCAACGCCGCGUGAGUGAUGAAGGUCUUCGGAUCGUAAAACUCUGUUAUUAGGGAAGAACAAAUGUGUAAGUAACUAUGCACGUCUUGACGGUACCUAAUCAGAAAGCCACGGCUAACUACGUG